UGAGUUAGAGUCUCUCUUAUCCUUU
rnacentral:piRNA from 1 species